rnacentral:rRNA from 1 species
AGCGGCGGACGGGUGAGUAAUGCCUAGGAAAUUGCCCUGAUGUGGGGGAUAACCAUUGGAAACGAUGGCUAAUACCGCAUAACGCCUACGGGCCAAAGAGGGGGACCUUCGGGCCUCUCGCGUCAGGAUAUGCCUAGGUGGGAUUAGCUAGUUGGUGAGGUAAGGGCCCACCAAGGCGACGAUCCCUAGCUGGUCUGAGAGGAUGAUCAGCCACACUGGAACUGAGACACGGUCCAGACUCCUACGGGAGGCAGCAGUGGGGAAUAUUGCACAAUGGGCGCAAGCCUGAUGCAGCCUUGCCGCGUGUGUGAAGAAGGCCUUCGGGUUGUAAAGCACUUUCAGUCGUGAGGAAGGUAGUGUAGUUAAUAGCUGCAUUAUUUGACGUUAGCGACAGAAGAAGCACCGGCUAACUCCGUGCCAGCAGCCGCGGUAAUACGGAGGGUGCGAGCGUUAAUCGGAAUUACUGGGCGUAAAGCGCAUGCAGGUGGUUUGUUAAGUCAGAUGUGAAAGCCCGGGGCUCAACCUCGGAAUUGCAUUUGAAACUGGCAGA